rnacentral:rRNA from 1 species
GCUCAGAUUGAACGCUGGCGGCAGGCCUAACACAUGCAAGUCGAGCGCGAAAGCCCUUCGGGGUGAGUAGAGCGGCGGACGGGUGAGUAACGCGUAGGAAUCUACCUGGUAGUGGGGGAUAACUUGGGGAAACUCAAGCUAAUACCGCAUACGCCCUAAGGGGGAAAGCGGGGGAUCUUCGGACCUCGCGCUAUUGGAUGAGCCUGCGUAGGAUUAGCUUGUUGGUGAGGUAAAGGCUCACCAAGGCGACGAUCCUUAGCUGGUCUGAGAGGAUGAUCAGCCACACCGGGACUGAGACACGGCCCGGACUCCUACGGGAGGCAGCAGUGGGGAAUAUUGCGCAAUGGGCGAAAGCCUGACGCAGCCAUGCCGCGUGUGUGAAGAAGGCCUUCGGGUUGUAAAGCACUUUCACUUGGGAAGAAAAGCUGGGGGCUAAUACCUUUCAGCUGUGACAUUACCUUGAGAAGAAGCACCGGCUAACUCCGUGCCAGCAGCCGCGGUAAU